UACGUAGGUGGCAAGCGUUGUCCGGAAUCAUUGGGCGUAAAGCGCGUGUAGGCGGCCCGAUAAGUCCGCUGUGAAAGUCCAGGGCUCAACCCUGGAAUGCCGGUGGAUACUGUCGGGCUCGAGUCCGGAAGAGGCGAGUGGAAUUCCUGGUGUAGCGGUGGAAUGCGCAGAUAUCAGGAGGAACACCAAUAGCGAAGGCAGCUCGCUGGGACGGUACUGACGCUGAGGCGCGAAAGCGUGGGGAGCGAACAGG
rnacentral:rRNA from 1 species